GAUGAACGCUAGCUACAGGCUUAACACAUGCAAGUCGAGGGGAAACGAUAUUGGAAGCUUGCUUCCGAUAGGCGUCGACCGGCGCACGGGUGAGUAACGCGUAUCCAACCUGCCCAUCACUUGGGGAUAACCUUGCGAAAGUAAGACUAAUACCCAAUGAUAUCUCAAGAAGACAUCUGAAUGAGAUUACAGAUUUAUCGGUGAUGGAUGGGGAUGCGUCUGAUUAGCUUGUUGGCGGGGUAACGGCCCACCAAGGCGACGAUCAGUAGGGGUUCUGAGAGGAAGGUCCCCCACAUUGGAACUGAGACACGGUCCAAACUCCUACGGGAGGCAGCAGUGAGGAAUAUUGGUCAAUGGGCGAGAGCCUGAACCAGCCAAGUAGCGUGCAGGAUGACGGCCCUAUGGGUUGUAAACUGCUUUUAUAAGGGAAUAAAGUGAGCCUCGUGAGGCUUUUUGCAUGUACCUUAUGAAUAAGGACCGGCUAAUUCCGUGCCAGCAGCCGCAGUAA
rnacentral:rRNA from 1 species